UACGUAGGGUGCGAGCGUUGUCCGGAAUUAUUGGGUGUAAAGAGCUCGUAGGCGGUCUGUCGCGUCGGUCGUGAAAACUUGGGGCUUAACCCUGAGCUUGCGGUCGAUACGGGCAUGACUGGAGUUCGGCAGGGGAGACUGGAAUUCCUGGUGUAGUGGUGAAAUGCGCAGAUAUCAGGAGGAACACCGGUGGCGAAGGCGGGUCUCUGGGCCGAUACUGACGCUGAGGAGCGAAAGCGUGGGGAGCGAACAGG
rnacentral:rRNA from 1 species